rnacentral:lncRNA from 1 species
GCUCUCAUUAGGACUAAGCCAGUCCCAUGGAGCCCCAAGAGGAGAAGAGGCCAAUGAGCCAAGCCGUUCCUGCCUGUGGCCUGGAAAUCAGAGCUGCUUCGAGCAAGCUCUGCGCGGGCUCUUUAAGGGUCCCCCACCCCCUUUCCAGUUUGACCACAUCUGUAGGCUCUGUUGAAACAGAGCCAACAUAAACAAAAACAAACUGAAACCCAGCAGCCAGCGAGGGCGGGAUGUGCCACCCAUCUGGGCAGGCCACGUGCAGGGCUGAGGACUGCCAAGGCACACCUCCUGCUGGUAAAAGGCACCGUGUGGAGUAAUUAACCUCCAGGGCUUGGUGAGUGAAAAGCACCAUGUAACCAUGCUGGGUAAUUGAAGAGGAA